rnacentral:rRNA from 1 species
GGGGCUACUGAUUGCUAUUGCACCACAUGUGUUUUUCUUUGAAACAAACUUGCUUUGGCGGUGGGCCCAGCCUGCCGCCAGAGGUCUAAACUUACAACCAAUUUUUUAUCAACUUGUCACACCAGAUUAUUACUUAAUAGUCAAAACUUUCAACAACGGAUCUCUUGGUUCUCGCAUCGAUGAAGAACGCAGCGAAAUGCGAUACGUAAUAUGAAUUGCAGAUAUUCGUGAAUCAUCGAAUCUUUGAACGCACAUUGCGCCCUCUGGUAUUCCGGAGGGCAUGCCUGUUUGAGCGUCGUUUCUCCCUCAAACCGCUGGGUUUGGUGUUGAGCAAUACGACUUGGGUUUGCUUGAAAGACGGUAGUGGUAAGGCGGGAUCGCUUUGACAAUGGCUUAGGUCUAACCAAAAACAUUGCUUGCGGCGGUAACGUCUACCACGUAUAUCUUCAAACUUUGACCUCAAAUCAGGUAGGACUACCCGCUGAACUUAAGCAUAUCAAAAGGCGGAGGAA